UACGUAGGGGGCAAGCGUUGUCCGGAUUUAUUGGGCGUAAAGAGCGUGUAGGCGGCUUGGUAGGUCCGUUGUGAAAACUCGAGGCUCAACCUCGAGACGCCGAUGGAAACCCUCCAGCUAGAGUCCGGAAGAGGAGAGUGGAAUUCCUGGUGUAGCGGUGAAAUGCGCAGAUAUCAGGAAGAACACCCGUGGCUAAGGCGGCUCUCUAGUACGGUACUGACGCUGAGACGCGAAAGCGUGGGGAGCGAACAGG
rnacentral:rRNA from 1 species